GAAUGGAUAGAGAAUGUAAGCAGACUUCCGAGAAAAUCUUCUAAGCAUAUUGAUACGGUACCCGUACCGCAAACCGACACAGGUAGUCAAGGAGAGAAUCCUGAGGUGCUCGAGUGAGUCAUGGCUAAGGAACUAGGCAAAUUAAACCUGUAACUUCGGGAAAAGGGUUGCCUCUCUUUAGCAAUAAAGAAGGUCGCAGAGAAAUGGCCCAGGCGACUGUUUAACAAAAACACAUGGCUAUGCGAAAUCGUAAGAUGAAGUAUAUGGCCUGACACCUGCCCGGUGCUGGAAGGUUAAGGGGGGAAGUUAGUCGCAAGGCGAAGCUUUGAACUGAAGCCCCAGUAAACGGCGGCCGUAACUAUAACGGUCCUAAGGUAGCGAAAUUCCUUGUCGGGUAAGUUCCGACCUGCACGAAUGGUGUAACGAUCUGGGCACUGUCUCAGCCAUGAGCUCGGUGAAAUUGUAGUCACGGUGAAGAUGCCGUGUACCCGUCACGGGACGGAAAGACCCCAUGCACCUUUACUAUAGCUUCGCAUUGACAUUGGGUAGAUGAUGUGUAGGAUAGGUGGGAGGCGUUGAUCCUGUGCCGCUAGGUAUAGGGGAGCCAACGGUGAAAUACCACCCUUUAUUUAUCUGAUGUCUAAUCCGCAAGACCUGCGGAGACAGUGCGUGGUGGGUAGUUUGACUGGGGUGGUCGCCUCCGAAAGUGUAUCGGAGGCUUUCAAAGGUAUGCUCAAUACGCUUGGUAACCGUAUGUGGAGUGCAAUAGCAUAAGCAUGCUUGACUGUGAGACUGACAAGUCGAGCAGGGUCGAAAGACGGAUAUAGUGAUCCGGUGGUUCUGUAUGGAAGGGCCAUCGCUCAAAGGAUAAAAGGUACGCUGGGAUAACAGGCUGAUCUCCCCCAAGAGCUCACAUCGACGGGGAGGUUUGGCACCUCGAUGUCGGCUCGUCACAUCCUGGGGCUGGAGAAGGUCCCAAGGGUUAGGCUGUUCGCCUAUUAAAGUGGCACGCGAGCUGGGUUCAGAACGUCGUGAGACAGUUCGGCCCCUAUCUGUGAUGGGCGUAGGAAGUUUGAGAGGAUCUGACCUUAGUACGAGAGGACCGGGUUGGACCAACCGCUGGUGUACCGGUUGUGGCGUCAGCUGCAUCGCCGGGUAGCUACGUUGGGACGAGAUAAGCGCUGAAAGCAUCUAAGCGCGAAACUCACCUCAAGAUGAGACUUCCAUUAAGGGACGUCAGAGACUAUGACGUUGAUAGGCUGCAGGUGUAAAGGCAGAAAUGUCAAAGCUGAGCAGUACUAAUUACCCU
rnacentral:rRNA from 1 species